rnacentral:rRNA from 1 species
AUUGAACGCUGGCGGCAUGCCUUACACAUGCAAGUCGAACGGCAGCACGGGGGCAACCCUGGUGGCGAGUGGCGAACGGGUGAGUAAUACAUCGGAACGUGUCCUGUAGUGGGGGAUAGCCCGGCGAAAGCCGGAUUAAUACCGCAUACGCUCUACGGAGGAAAGGGGGGGAUCUUAGGACCUCCCGCUACAGGGGCGGCCGAUGGCAGAUUAGCUAGUUGGUGGGGUAAAGGCCUACCAAGGCGACGAUCUGUAGCUGGUCUGAGAGGACGACCAGCCACACUGGGACUGAGACACGGCCCAGACUCCUACGGGAGGCAGCAGUGGGGAAUUUUGGACAAUGGGCGAAAGCCUGAUCCAGCAAUGCCGCGUGUGUGAAGAAGGCCUUCGGGCUGUAAAGCACUUUUGUCCGGAAAGAAAAACGCCGUGGUUAAUACCCGUGGCGG